GAAGAAGGUCCCAAGGGUCCGGCUGUUCGCCGGUUAAAGCGGUACGUGAGCUGGGUUCAGACCGUCGUGAGACAGGUCGGUCUCUAUCCGCUGUGGGCGUAGGAAGUUUGAGGGGAGCUCUCCCUAGUACGAGAGGACCGGGAGGGACGGACCGCUGGUGUUCCGGUUGUUCCGCCAGGAGCAGCGCCGGGUAGCUAUGUCCGGUCUGGAUAAGCGCUGAAGGCAUAUAAGCGCGAAGCCGUCCCCGAGAUGAGACUUCCCAUCCCAUUUGGGAGUAAGGCCGCAGGGAGACUACCUGCUUGAUAGGCCGCACGUGUAAGCACGGUAACGUGUUCAGCGAAGCGGUACUAAUCGGCCGAGGGCUUGACCAUAGAU
rnacentral:rRNA from 1 species